rnacentral:rRNA from 1 species
GUGGGGAAUAUUGGACAAUGGGGGGAACCCUGAUCCAGCCAUGCCGCGUGUGUGAAGAAGGCCUUUUGGUUGUAAAGCACUUUAAGCGAGGAGGAGGAGCUCUAGACUAAUACUCUAGAUGCUUGGACGUUACUCGCAGAAUAAGCACCGGCUAACUCUGUGCCAGCAGCCGCGGUAAUACAGAGGGUGCAAGCGUUAAUCGGAUUUACUGGGCGUAAAGCGUGCGUAGGUGGUCUUUUAAGUCGGAUGUGAAAUCCCUGAGCUUAACUUAGGAAUUGCAUUCGAUACUGGGAGACUAGAGUAUGGGAGAGGAUGGUAGAAUUCCAGGUGUAGCGGUGAAAUGCGUAGAGAUCUGGAGGAAUACCGAUGGCGAAGGCAGCCAUCUGGCCUAAUACUGACACUGAGGUACGAAAGCAUGGGGAGCAAACAGGAUUAGAAACCCUUGUAGUCC